GGGCGCGUAGCUCAGCGGGAGAGCACACCCUUCACACGGGUGGGGUCAUAGGUUCAAUCCCUAUCGCGCCCACCA
rnacentral:tRNA from 1 species